UACAGAGGGUGCGAGCGUUAAUCGGAAUUACUGGGCGUAAAGCGCGCGUAGGCGGUUUUGUAAGUCGGGUGUGAAAGCCCCGGGCUUAACUUGGGAACUGCGCUCGAAACUAUGGUGCUGGAGUGUGGCAGAGGAAGGUGGAAUUCCACGUGUAGCGGUGAAAUGCGUAGAGAUGUGGAGGAACACCGAUGGCGAAGGCAGCCUUCUGGGCCAACACUGACGCUCAUGCACGAAAGCGUGGGGAGCAAACAGG
rnacentral:rRNA from 1 species